GCCUGGGUGGCUCAGUCGGUUGAGCAUCUGACUUUGGCUCAGGUCAUGAUAUCAAGGUUUGUGGGGUCAAGCCCCACAUUGGGCU
rfam:Felis catus isolate Cinnamon breed Abyssinian chromosome B3, whole genome shotgun sequence.